AUUGAACGCUGGCGGCAUGCCUUACACAUGCAAGUCGAACGGCAGCACGGGGGCAACCCUGGUGGCGAGUGGCGAACGGGUGAGUAACAUAUCGGAACGUGCCCUGGAGUGGGGGAGUAACUAGUCGAAAGACUAGCUAAUACCGCAUACGAUCUACGGAGUGAAAAGUGGGGGAUCGCAAGACCUCAUGGCCUCGUGGAGCGGCCGAUAUCUGAUUAGCAGUUGGU
rnacentral:rRNA from 1 species